AGUGGUAAUGUGUAGUGUGUGUUGCUGUGCUGUGUAAAGCAAACAACAUUCAAAUAAGCCCGAAUGACCUGAAAGACUGAGAGAGGCCAAAUACAGCCUCAACAUUACUCUAAAUAAAACUCCCCCAAUCCAAGUAGCCCCCAAACCUGGACGUGGACACAGAGGCCUGAGGGCCAUCUCACACAUUUAUUCAGAAUAAAACAGGUUUUUGUGUUUGUGUACUCGAGGAUGUCAACAUAACAUGUUCAAGUACCCAGUAAACAUCAGUGCAGACAGCUGUUCAUAAAAAUGUCAUAAAAACAUGCUUAAACUACUUAAACCAGCCACUGUGACCAUUGCUGCAGAGCAGAAUGAACAAUACUGAUGGGGACUAUGAGGGUUUGUAGUUUAAUUCCUGCUCUUGCAGGAUCAGUGAGUGUCUGUUUAAAGAUAAACCUCAUUAACAAACUUAAACCUCUGCUCCCCACGACAUCACCAACAUUUCUGCAGGACAGAACCCCCUGAUUUAAUCUACCAUAAUGCUCUCUGUUCUGUUGUCAUGGCAACAUGAAGUCAAAAAAUACAAAUACAAAAAUGCAAAAGAACAGGAGGACAACAAGACAGGCAGCUGGAAGAGCUUUUGAAGCAGAAAAACUUUUCUGGAUUUAUCUUAACUUAACUGGAAAUUUUGCAAAACAAGUCAAGCUGGAAACAAGGAGGCAGCUGGUUGGAUUAUAUCUGAGGACAGGACGCAUGAAGGAGAAGCAUGAGGAGAGAGAAAACAGCAGAGAGAUGGUGUGGAGCUAAUCGUGGAUCAAGUCGAAGAAGCAAGCACCAAAACUGGGAUGCCCCUCCUCCUUCCUGUCGUUCAGUCACUUGUCAACAACCAGCUGAUUGCUCCCCUGCUCCUCAUGAAGUCUUCAUGCUGGCUUCUCAACAACCACAUCAUUGCAUCACCAAGACCUUUCAGCUUUUUCGGAUCCCUGCAAUCUUCUGUGACAGUGUCUGAGUGUGCCUUCAGACAGCCUGCAGUACCUCUGCCCGUCUCCUGGAGCCCACAGUGUUUAUCCUGUAUUCAUAACUAUCUGCAAAUAAACCUG